ensembl:lncRNA novel transcript
AGACGGGCAGAGGAAGUGCCAGUGCCACUGGGACCAUGGCUCUGACGGUAACGCGUGCAACGACUAACAGGGCUGACCGGCACCCACGACCGACAAGUGAAGCUCACCUUUCGAGUUCUGAGCAGGCUUUACCCAGAAAACAAGAAAAAUUCACUGUGGUCCAGAAGCAGAUAUCGGUGAGCUGUUCCGAUGGCCCCACUAUGGGGCUCCACUGGCUGGGGAGUGUCUGUCUGUGCAGGUGGUCAACUGCAGCCGUGUAUUCAGCCUUAGGCCUCUAGGGACCCUGGUGAUCUCCCUGCAGCAGCUACAGAAUGCUGGGCAUUUGGUGCUACGGGAAGCCCUAGUGGAUGAGAAUCUUCAAGUGUCCCCGAUCCAGGUGGAGCUUGACCUGAAGUACCAGCCCCCAGAGGGCGCUACUGGAGCCUGGUCAGAGGAGGACUUUGGGGCACCCAUCCAGGACAGCUUCGAGUUAAUCAUCCCCAAUGUGGGCUUCCAGGAACUGGAGCCUGGGGAGGCCCAGCUGGAGCGGCGGGCAGUGGCUCUAGGCCGCA